CCAAUCCUUGUAUCAGUUCUAAGCCAGGAGGUAAGGGUUUAAAGAAGAGAAAGAGAGGGCGUUGGCAACUUUGGAGAGGGCGAUUUCGGUCGGACGGCACCUUGCAGAGUUAUAAAAGGAGCAAGAGAAGUGGAAGCAGUGUGUGGACAGAUUCUGGAAAAGGGAAGGAGAGAUACGUACCAGGGACCAAAGGAGGGUUGGUUUUGUUUUUUACUGCUGGGACAGAAGGCCUACGCAUGCGUGUAAACAACCCCAGCCCAUCCAGUAGACUAGGAGACCAAGAAGAUAGGAGAGAAUGGGGAUGACGCUGGAGACGUUGGCCUGGAAUGGGCUGGAGGGAGAACACAGACAUAACGAGGAGGACGGACACCGCCAGGGGGACGGAAGGAGACAGCUGCGUCCUGGGAGAAUUGUUUUCGGGAGGGCAGGGACCAGCAUUGUCUUCCUAUUCCCAGUGCUUAGCUGAGCCUGGAACAUGGACAGCACUUACCAGGGGCUCAGAGGCUUUACACACCUGCCUGGCACAGCAUCUUCCUUUGGGUUUUAUCCAGUAGACACUUGUUAAGAUACUGUUCUCUGGUAGGGCUGGAGCCACAAAGAUGAAAAAUAACCCCGUUCCUGCUCUCCUGGAGCUUACAGCCUACUGUGAUAAUGGAAUAUUCAGACUGACUUGGUACACUUCAUUCUGACUUUUUCUUAUAAGCUAUGUGAUACUUGCUUCUAUAAAGCUUUUCUCUUGUGUUUAUGUUUUCUUUCUUUCUUUGUUUUUAUAUCAUGGUCUCCUUGAAAUUAUGGUCUCCCUUGUGACAAUGAUAAAUAAAAAUACUAUUUAUUAGUCAUAUCGUAAAUAGUGUUCUCCUUCCUGUAGUCAUCUUCCUGACCGCUAAGAUGAUAGAAUUAUUGAUUUAGAGAUGGGAGGAAUCUUACAUGAAGUAACUUGUCCUGGGUCUCCUAUUAAAAUGUCUAAGGUGGGAUUUGAACCCAGGUUCAUGCCUCCAAGUCUAAUGUUCUGUUUACUAUAUCAAUCCCAUCUCUUCAUAUUAAAGAUUAGGAAACUGAGGUCUGGAGGACAGAAAUGUAUCACUAUCUGCUUUCUUGAGACCUUUACUGGUAUUUUUUGAAGUUCAGUUGUUUUCAAACAUAUUGGACUCAUGGCCCUAUUUGGGGUUUUCUUGGCAAAAAGACCAGAGUGGACAGCUAUUUCAUUUUCCAGCUUAUUUUACAUAUAAGGAAGCUGAGGCAGACAGGACUAAGUGACUU